CCCACCCACCCAGGGCCAAGCUCCCUGCGCGCAGCUUCCAACGUGGUGGAGUCGUCGCCUUCCUAUGCAGUCCCGUAAUCCCUGAUCGGCCCCUCCUUCAGAUGUAUCCCGGUGACCUUCCUGCCCGGACGCUGGGAAGCGGCCUGCGGUGGCGUCCCACACGGCGUGGCAUCGAGACACCCUGGGCGAAGCCUCCAGGCCCUGCGGAUGGCCAGCCCUUGGAGGCAGUGACCAUCUGCCUUGUUCCGUGUUGGCCUCCUACUCCGCCGCCUGGACAGUGGGUUCUGGAGGAUGGACCCGAGCCACCUUGGGAGGACAGAGCAACACCGACACCCGCGCAGCCCGCGGUGGGUUCUGAGUCUUCACUUUAUUGCUACGUCACCAGAAGUCACCACCUUCACUUGUUCACCACACACGGAUGACGUCAUAAAGGAGGG